rnacentral:rRNA from 1 species
UACAGAGGGUGCGAGCGUUAAUCGGAAUUACUGGGCGUAAAGCGCGCGUAGGCGGCUUUGCAAGUCGGGUGUGAAAUCCCCAGGCUUAACCUGGGAACUGCACCCGAGACUGCUUUGCUAGAGUAUGGGAGAGGGAAGUGGAAUUUCAGGUGUAGCGGUGAAAUGCGUAGAUAUCUGAAGGAACAUCAGUGGCGAAAGCGACUUCCUGGACCAAUACUGACGCUCAUGUGCGAAAGCGUGGGGAGCAAACAGGAUUAGAAACCCCCGUAGUCC